rnacentral:tmRNA from 1 species
GGGGCAUUACUGGUUUCGACAGGACGACGAAAACUACCUUGUGAUUCAGGUCGAGAGUAAGUCACCUCUCGUAAAUACAUGACUUAAAAAAAUAAGUGCAAACAACAUUGUAUCUUUCGCUCGUCCUCGCGUAGCAGUAGCUGCGUAGGAACAAAAACCUCACUUAGGUUUUGAGCAUCUGUAGUUUGACUCCGUUAAGGACUAUAGAUAUAACCCCAACGGAUGUUCUAGUGAGGCGUUUCUGGUCGCCGAUCUAGAGAAAACUCUACCAGUAUCCCUCACUAUCUAGGGUUACAGAUAGUUCCCGCUCUGAGGGUUAGAAGGGCUAAACCUGUGAACGAACAAGAAGUCAAUACUCGUUUUGGACAUGGGUUCGAUUCCCAUAUGCUCCAUAU